rnacentral:rRNA from 1 species
UUAGAGUUUGGAACAUGGCUCAGGAUGAACGCUGGCGGCGUGCCUAAUACAUGCAAGUCGAACGAGUUCUCGUUGAUGAUCGGUGCUUGCACCGAGAUUCAACAUGGAACGAGUGGCGGACGGGUGAGUAACACGUGGGUAACCUGCCCUUAAGUGGGGGAUAACAUUUGGAAACAGAUGCUAAUACCGCAUAGAUCCAAGAACCGCAUGGUUCUUGGCUGAAAGAUGGCGUAAGCUAUCGCUUUUGGAUGGACCCGCGGCGUAUUAGCUAGUUGGUGAGGUAAUGGCUCACCAAGGCGAUGAUACGUAGCCGAACUGAGAGGUUGAUCGGCCACAUUGGGACUGAGACACGGCCCAAACUCCUACGGGAGGCAGCAGUAGGGAAUCUUCCACAAUGGACGCAAGUCUGAUGGAGCAACGCCGCGUGAGUGAAGAAGGCUUUCGGGUCGUAAAACUCUGUUGUUGGAGAAGAAUGGUCGGCAGAGUAACUGUUGUCGGCGUGACGGUAUCCAACCAGAAAGCCACGGCUAACUACGUGCCAGCAGCCGCGGUAAUACGUAGGUGGCAAGCGUUAUCCGGAUUUAUUGGGCGUAAAGCGAGCGCAGGCGGUUUUUUAAGUCUGAUGUGAAAGCCCUCGGCUUAACCGAGGAAGCGCAUCGGAAACUGGGAAACUUGAGUGCAGAAGAGGACAGUGGAACUCCAUGUGUAGCGGUGAAAUGCGUAGAUAUAUGGAAGAACACCAGUGGCGAAGGCGGCUGUCUGGUCUGUAACUGACGCUGAGCUCGAA